rnacentral:lncRNA from 1 species
GGAAGGGGCGGGGGAGGGGUGAACGGUGCGGGGAAGGGAGACCCGGCGAGAGGAUGGCUGGAGAGUCCAGCAGUGCACGAGCUCGACGGUGCGAGGCGGCAGGCGCCGUUAAAAGGGCAGCAAGCGGCAAGAAACGGCAGGUUCCUCCAUCGAGCCCGGCGGGCGGGCGGCAGGGAGAAAAGAGGGGAGGAGCAGGAGGGGGGCGCCCGCUCAAGCAACAGAUGAGCAGCAGGAGCGCGCCGACCGAGCUCGAGAGGAGAGGGGAGCGGGUCCUCGCCGGAGAUCCCGGACGGAAAAGCCUCCAAGCGGCGGCUCCACACGAGUUCAGGUCUUCUGCGCAGCGGCGGUGGAGGACGAAAGGCUUUUCCUCACAGCCCCGCGGAGAAGCAUCGGCAGGACCAGGCUUUUUGCAGCCAAACUUCGUCCAUAGUUCCUCUGAAGGCUCUUGA